GUACCUUUGGGUGGGGAACAACAGUCGGAAACGACUGCUAAUACCGCAUAAUGCAGCGGCAUCGCAAGAUGACAGUUGUUAAAGCGAGCAAUCGCGCCUAAAGAGCAGUCUGCGGCAGAUUAGGUAGUUGGUAAGGUAAUGGCUUACCAAGCCUGCGAUCUGUAACCGACCUGAGAGGGUGGUCGGUCACACUGACACUGAAUAACGGGUCAG
rnacentral:rRNA from 1 species